ensembl:miRNA
GGUGGCCUCAGAAUCUCAUGUCAUCUUUUCACAGAUGAUGGGGUUCUGUUGGCUUCAUC